rnacentral:rRNA from 1 species
GAUGAACGCUGGCGGCGUGCUUAACACAUGCAAGUCGAACGAAGUUGCUUUAAGGAAGGUUUCGGCUGGAAUUAAAGUAGCUUUAGUGGCGGACGGGUGAGUAACGUGUGGGCAACCUACCUUGUACUGGGGAAUAAUCACUGGAAACGGUGACUAAUACCGCAUACGGUCUUUGGAAGGCAUCUUCUGAAGAAGAAAGGAUUUAUUCGGUAUAAGAUGGGCCCGCAUCUGAUUAGCUAGUUGGUGAGAUAACAGCCCACCAAGGCGACGAUCAGUAGCCGACCUGAGAGGGUGAUCGGCCACAUUGGGACUGAGACACGGGCCCAAACUCCUACGGGAGGCAGCAGUGGGGAAUAUUGCACAAUGGGGGAAACCCUGAUGCAGCAACGCCGCGUGAAGGAAGAAGGUUUUUCGGAUCGUAAACUUCUAUC